UACGUAGGGUGCGAGCGUUUAAUCGGAAUUACUGGGCUUAAAGGGUGCGUAGGCUGUGCAGAAAGUUGGGUGUGAAAUCCCCCCGGCUCAACCGGGGAAUAGCGCUCAAAACUACUGUGCUAGAGGGAGACAGAGGUAAGCGGAACUCAGGGUGGAGCGGUGAAAUGCGUUGAUAUCCUGAGGAACACCGGUGGCGAAAGCGGCUUACUGGGUCUCUUCUGACGCUGAGGCACGAAAGCUAGGGUAGCGAACGGG
rnacentral:rRNA from 1 species